CACCGCCCGUCACAUCACGAAAGUGGGCUGUACUAGAAGUCGGUGGGCUAACCCGCAAGAGAAGCAGCCGCCCAAGGUAUAACUCAUGAUUGGGGUG
rnacentral:rRNA from 1 species